GGGAACUGCGUUNUGAACUGGGUGACUAGAGUGUGUCAGAGGGAGGUAGAAUUCCACGUGUAGCAGUGAAAUGCGUAGAGAUGUGGAGGAAUACCGAUGGCGAAGGCAGCCUCCUGGGAUAACACUGACGUUCAUGCUNGAAAGCGUGGGUAGCAAACAGGAUUAGAUACCCUGGUAGUCCACGCCCUAAACGAUGUCAAUUAGCUGUUGGGCAACUUGAUUGCUUAGUAGCGUAGCUAACGCGUGAAAUUGACCGCCUGGGGAGUACGGUCGCAAGAUUAAAACUCAAAGGAAUUGACGGGGACCCGCACAAGCGGUGGAUGAUGUGGAUUAAUUCGAUGCAACGCGAAGAACCUUACCUGGUCUUGACAUGUACGGAAUCCUCCAGAGACGGAGGAGUGCCUUCGGGAGCCGUAACACAGGUGCUGCAUGGCUGUCGUCAGCUCGUGUCGUGAGAUGUUGGGUUAAGUCCCGCAACGAGCGCAACCCUUGUCAUUAGUUGCCAUCAUUUAGUUGGGCACUCUAAUGAGACUGCCGGUGACAAGCCGGAGGAAGGUGGGGAUGACGUCAAGUCCUCAUGGCCCUUAUGACCAGGGCUUCACACGUCAUACAAUGGUCGGUACAGAGGGUAGCCAAGCCGCGAGGUGGAGCCAAUCUCACAAAACCGAUCGUAGUCCGGAUUGCACUCUGCAACUCGAGUGCAUGAAGUCGGAAUCGCUAGUAAUCGCAGGUCAGCAUACUGCGGUGAAUACGUUCCCGGGUCUUGUACACACCGCCCGACACACCAUGGGAGUGGGGGAUACCAGAAGUAGGUAGGGUAACCGC
rnacentral:rRNA from 1 species